CGUUGAAACGCCUGUUCUCGUACGAUCACCGAAGUUAAGCAACGACGAGUCUGGUCAGUACUUAGAUGGGCGACUACUUGAGAAUACCAA